GAUGAACGCUCGCGGCAGGCUUAACACAUGCAAGUCGAGGGGCAGCAUAAUGGUUAGUACUCUCUUUGGUGGCGACCGGCGCACGGGUGCGUAACGCGUAUGCAACCUACCUUUAACAGGGGGAUAACACUGAGAAAUUGGUACUAAUACCCCAUAAUAUCAUAGAAGGCAUCUUUUAUGGUUGAAAAUUCCGAUGGUUAGAGAUGGGCAUGCGUUGUAUUAGCUAGUUGGUGGGGUAACGGCUCACCAAGGCGACGAUACAUAAGGGGACUGAGAGGUUACCCCCCCACACUGGUACUGGGACACGGACCAGACUGCUACGGGAGGCAGCAGUGAGGGAUAGUGGUCAGUGGACGAAAGUAUGAACCAGCCAUGCCGCGUGCAGGAAUACUGCUCUAUGAGUUGUAAACUGCUUAUGGACGAGGGUAAACGCAGAUACGUGUAUCUGUCUGAGAGGAUCGUACGAAUAAGACGCGGCUAACUCCG
rnacentral:rRNA from 1 species